CCUGGGACUAAUUUUCUAGGCUCCCCAACAGGAUGCAGAGAUCCGCUCACUGUUGGAGCCCGAGAAGGAGACUACAGAAGGAGGACUGCUGCUCUUGGUGUCUCAUCUGUCUCUUUCCUUUGCUGGGCACAACUGGUCUUGGCUGCUACUCUGCCUGGCAGUGUCUUUCUUUCAAUAGUGCCUUCACCACCAUCUCUCUCCAAGCACCACAGCAAAGGUACUGAAGGAUUUUUUUCUCCUCCAUAUAUUCAAUUCUGAUGGGAGAAAUACUAGUGCUUCAAUGAAACAGACCACUUCCAAGUUCUAUUCAUAGCCCAUUCAUUCCUGGGUCCCAGACACACACUCAGGGGGCUUAUAAAUGAGAAUUAGCUGAAUGAUAGCCGCUAAGCUGCCCACAGAGCCUAUUCUACAAAAGUUCUUUUACUAAUUCAAAUUCAUUGCUUCUGACUUGAGUUUUCAUCAAGGUAAUU
rnacentral:lncRNA from 1 species